rnacentral:rRNA from 1 species
UACAGAGGUCUCAACCGUUGUUCGGAUUCAUUGGGCGUAAAGGGUGCGUAGGCGGCGGGGUAAGUCAGGUGUGAAAUCUCGGGGCUCAACCCCGAAACUGCACUUGAUACUGCCUCGCUUGAGUACUGGAGAGGAGACUGGAAUUUACGGUGUAGCAGUGAAAUGCGUAGAUAUCGUAAGGAAGACCAGUGGCGAAGGCGAGUCUCUGGACAGUUACUGACGCUGAGGCACAAAGGCCAGGGGAGCAAACGGG